GUUACUUAUGCUCAUCAGAUUGAACUUUAGUUCCCUUAAUUUCAUCCUGAUAUUUCUCUUUGUUGCAAAGCAUUGUCAUCGAGAUAAUGCGAUUUUAGUGACAAAAUAGGUUGGUCUUUGUUGUUACAGGGUCUUUUGUUUGGUUUGAUAUCUGGAGCUUUGAUCGAAGGGUUGGAUAGGUUUUGAGAGUGUUCUUGGUUUUCAGAGGCUGUAUUUUGAUUAUGAUAUUAGCAAGAAGGGUUCUUUUUUUUUUGUAGAAUUUCAGAAGUGAAAUUUCUAUUUUGUUCUUCUCUUUUUUGGGGGCGAAAUGAUGGCUUUGAGUUUGCUAAACAUGCAUGCAAUGUUCAAUUAUUAUUUGUAGCUAGGGUUCUAAACUUCCGGUGGUUGUAGAAACUCCAAAUAGGGCUAGUUGGAGUUUUAGCUUCGAUUUCAUGAGGUAUGAAGGUUGGGACUGAUCUAUUGAGCUUCCUUGAAGUGUUUUAAUGUUCCUUGAAAGUAGGUAAUGUGGCUUGUUGAAACAUUAUUGAUUUUCUGAAUUUAGUGUUAGAGCUGCGAUCACAUUUAUUAUGGAUUUUGGAAAUAUUGUAUUUUACUUCUUUGAAAUGUAGUGAUAUACACUUGCUUCAUUUCACUAAAGUAGAGGAGAUCUUCUUUCUUUCUUUAUAAUCUUUGUAUAGAUCAUCUAUGAACUGUGAUUUUUUUUUCUAUGACUUGUGAUACUAAUCUUUGCUAUUUUCUAGAUUGUAGUCUAUGAACUGUGAUUUUUUUUCCUCAUAGAUUGAUCUCAGUCAAUCUUGUUUGGUUUGAAGUUUCUUAUUGUGCCAUUCAUUGUUGGCUGCCUAGAUACGCUUCAUUUCUUUUCCUUCCGAUUGUCUUUACUAGUGGAUUCUCUUUGUCCUUGUAUUUCAUUCUCAUUGUCCUUUCAAGUCUAUGAAAUUAUUUAAAUGGAUUAGUUAUGGUUGUGAACUUGUAUUUUGUGUUUUUAGAUAGAUAGAUGCCUUUGAGAUUCAAAGAAAUUUUAUUAGAUUUCAUGAAGCAAUGGCAGGAACCUUGAUAUGGUACUCAUUCUUUUGCUUUACUUGGUGAAGUCCGAUCAUUAUUUGUAACCUAGUAUAUCCAAGCAUGCGUUUGUUAUCCAAGCUUACUUUGAUUCAUUUGCAUCACCAGGUGGGCGAGAAGCUGUUAAUGCUGCAGAGAAAGCUGAGCGGAAGCUUCAGCUAAGGGACAAGGCGCAGGGGGGGUGCAAAUUUGUUGGGUUCAGUCACGCAAUAGAGAACUUGACUGUUGAAUCCUGGAGAAUAACUCCGUUUGUGUUUCCUGACGCACUGCAAAAAGGAGACGAAUUUGUUUUUAAGGAUAGUGCGCUUGCAUGCCUCAGUCGUCCUGUUCUGUCAUCCCGUUCUUGCUUAUGUUCCAACGACAAAAUUAUUUUUCCAACAAUCUUAAGAACAAUUGGAGAACGCGAUAACCACCUCUAAGUCAGUUCCUGACAUCUCAAAGAUUGAUCAAUUCGCUGGCACGUUCUUCAAACAAUGGCAACAAAAGCUGUUCUCGGCGCUAGACAUGUUCAACCUCGCACAUAUUCUGACUGAAGCAAAGCCGGACCCAACAUCAGAAGCUUAUUCGGAAACCUUGUCAAUCUGGGAGAAAAGAAACAAGAUCUGUCGUCAUACCAUCCUCAGCACACUCUCAAAUGAACUGUAUGACAUCUACUGUGACCUCAAGACAGCAAAAGAAAUCUGGAAUUCAUUGCAUAAGAAAUACGUAGUUGAAGAUGCCAGGAAUCAAAAAUAUGCAAUAGGGAAUUUCUCUGAUUUCAAAAUGACUGAAGACAAGGAUGUAUCUUCCCAAAUUCAUGAUUAUCAUGUUCUGGUCAAUGAACUGAAAAAUGAAGAAAUCAUCUUACCUGAUGCAUUCAUUGCCGGCUUCCUCAUUGAAAGUCUACCCGAAUCUUGGAAACACUACAAAAACAACUUGAAGCAUAAAAGGAAACUCAUGACUCUUGAAGACAUCAUUGUACAUAUCCGAAUUGAAGAGAAGAACCGUCAAAGGGAUAAUGCAGACAAGAUCAAAGAAUUCUCAUCCAAGGCGAAUCUUAUUGAAGUAGGAUCAAACAAAAGUCAGAAUUCCAACAGGAAUCCCAAGAAAUUCAAAGGAACCAGAAAUAAAUUAUGUGUUGCAUGCCCCUGAUCUUCAUGCUAAUCUAGUAUCUGUCUCACUGCUUGGAAAGGCUGGAAUAAAAGUCACCUUUGAGUCAAAUAAAUUAAUAAUGUCUAAGAAUGGAAUUUUCAUCGGGAAGGGGUAUUGUAGUCAAGGUUUAUUCAUUCUCAAUGUACUCAAUGUUAACAAUGGAAAUAAAGCAUCCUCUUCUGCUUACAUGGUGAAUUCAAUUGAUUUAUGGCAUGCUAGAUUGGGACAUGUGAAUUUUUCAUACAUCAAGAAAAUGAAAGAACUAGGCUUGAUUCAUAACAUGACAGAUUCCAAUAAAAUUGAUAAAUGUGAAAUUUGUGUAGAAUCUAAAUCUACCAAAAAAAGGUUGUAAGACUAUU